rnacentral:antisense_RNA from 1 species
AUGAAGGUGGCUUCAGCCGGGCGUCGGCCGGGCUCCAGGUCGGGUGCAGAGGCGGAAGCUGUGCUCUUCCUGCUGGACAGAGCCAGAGCCCAAGCCCUUCCUCCAGCUCCUCACACGGCGCUGAACAUGCUAAGAAGCUGUUGCUGGUUUUAAAAACAGAGACACUUGUUGCAAUAGGCUGGCACCCUAAUGUCUGCUCACACAGGCAGCACAAUCCCACGCUGUACCUCAGCUUGUGCCUUGUCAGCUCUGAGCUGGGAGGGGAGAGGAGAAAGGAGGAAUCCUCCUGACCGCAGAGCCUCCAGUCAGGACUGGCUGGCUCUGCUCCGUAUGCUGAAAGCCCUGGGAAUUUUUCACUGCUCUCAGGAUGGCGUCUGGGGCGUGGGCAGGUUGGUCCCACUUUGAACGCUCUGCUGGACUUACGGAGCUGCUCUUAGUUCUGGGCAGUGAACGCCGAGCUGUCGUGUCCACACGGCCAGGGGAACGCCAGGGCCAAGGCCAGCACGCACUGAGCUUCUGCCCAGCCUGGAGUCGCCUUCACCAGGCCAUGAGCACGUGAGGCACUUUCUAAGCACUGGUUGCCCGGGAGGCGCAACUGCUCAGAGGCCGAGGCAGCUCAAAGGGCUCCGACGUGCAGUGGCUCGACGGGGUCAGCGUGCCCAGAGUAAUGGGUGUCACUAGAGCACCCGGCCCAGCACAUGCUUUCUGAGGACACCUGGUGGGCACGCCCCAUAGCAGGCCCCAAAGUUUCAGAGGUCCUGUGGAGUACUUGCUGCCUGGGGGAGGCCCUUCCUCAGGGAGUGUCCAGCAGAGGGAAGAGCAGACCACGCUCUGGAAGGUCCAAGCCGAUCAUGCACGAGUCAACAGCGCUCCCACUGUCGGGCCAGCCCCUCUUCCCCACCCAAGGCCACCACUCUGCUGAAAUGAAGGUUCUUGACUAGCAAGAAGGAAGGCAGAAGUUGGACACUGGAUCCUUCUGGGUUGUGGAUGUGGAUGAGCUGUGGGCCCCUUUCCCUCUCCCUGUCCUACUUCUGCUGUGCCAGCCCCACAGCUGCUCAGUCCCCUCCCUGGUGGUGGGUACUGUCCUGGGACAGCCAGUUGGUCCUCUCCUUCCCGUUGGCAAUUCUGGCUUUCCGGCAUUCCACACCACGGGGCCCAGCCCAUGGGGCUUGGCGGAGGGAGUGUUCCUGCUAGCUCUUCUCUUUAGGCGGAGGAGCCCCAGCGCCGCAGGAGACGGGAGGCAGUGCAGAGACUCGCCUGAGUGCUGAGGGUGGCGGGGCCUGUCUCUGUCCCCUCUCGGGGACCUGUCCCUCUCCUGGACCACGGAUAUUGAUCUGAGGCAAACAUCUAAUUCCCACUUCCCCAGAACAUCCCCCAACUGAAGAAGAAUCAGUGACACUUUAGGAAAGAAAAGGUGGUAUUUAGUGGCGGUCCCCACACUGCCCCUCCCAGGACUUUGUUUUCUAAGCCCACCUGAGAUCUCUCCUGAUCCCUUUGAGGUCUUAAUACAAGAGCCGGGCCUACGGGUGGGAGAGUCUGGAUUCUGUCCUGGCCUUGCCAAGCUUCCUGGCUUCACGACCUUGUUCAAAUCACUUAAACCUCUGUCUGGCGUUUACAACCAUCAAACCAUCUACCCUCCAGGUGCUCCACAAGGACUGACUCCACCCCAGGCACUGUGUCGGCACUGGAAACAUGAAACCCGAGCUGGGAGCCAGACACGGGGGGUCUUCCUGGGAGCCUGGGAAGCCGCCUGCCCUCGUGGAAUUGACGGUCUGAGGAGUGAUGCACAUGAAGCACUUUGAAAGAUGUGAAGCACUGUGUGUAAAACAUGUGCCAAUUUCUUGCUUCACAGAAGGAAUUUUCACUGCUUUCUCAGUUAAGUGUCAAGAACCUCCAAAAGAGAUGGUUCAAGAGAGCUAUUAUUAUUGAAUCAGAUUUGUUCUUUACACAUUUUAGCAUAGCUCACAAAACCAUAUGAAUGUUUCUGUUUUGAAUAUUCUCUUCCUAAAUGUUUUACAUCCUGUGGGGAGGGGCUUGGAUUCUGAUUCUGUCUUUAAAUCCUACAAGUAGGCCGGGUGCGUAGCUCACACCUAUAAUCCCAGCACUUUGGGAGGCUGAGGCGGGCAGAUCAUGAGGUCAGGAGUUUGAGACCAGCCUGACCAACAUAGUGAAACCCCGUCUCUAUUGAAAAUACAAAAAUUAGCCAGGUGUGGUGGCGGGUGCCUGUAGUUCCAGCUACUCGGGAGGCUGAGGCAGGAGAAUCGCUUGAACCAGAGAGUCGGAGAUUGCAGUGCCACUGCACUCCAGCCUGGGCAACAGAGCGAGACUCCCUCUCAAACAAAAUAAAACAAAAAACAACAAAAAACAUCCUACAAGUGUCAAGCAUGGUGGUGCACACCUGUAGUCCCAGCUACUCUGGAGGCUGAGGUGGGAGGAUCACUUGAGCCCAGUUGAAGACCAGCCUGGGCAACAUAGUGACACCCUGUCUCU